GGUUUGUCUGUUUUUAAAACCAGUUUUUUUCCUUUUGCGUAGGUUUGAAUUCAUUGAAAUUCCUUCAUGGUGUAUCCUCGCCAAAUACUGGCGAGGUCGUCAGCAUCGUCAUUCAUGCGCUUACGUCACGUGACCCUCAAAGUCACUACCUCGUUGGUCUGGAUGCCAAAGAGCUUGCGUGGUUGGCAAUAAUACCGACACGUUUGACUGACUUUCUGCUGAACAAUACUAGAUUCACUCCUGGACCUAGAGAAAGCAAUCAGUGGACACCAGUCUGUUGUGAUACUGAUACAGCGUGAAGGCUCGCGCUGGAAGCAUACUGGCACAAAAUUCACGACAUCCAUGCAUGUUUAUUCGCUGUACCAGCAAAAUGGUCCGUUAUCUCGUUUGGAUUUCUUUUUCGGUGGCUCAGGCUCUUGUGAAGACAUUGUAAGACUUUCAAAAUAAACGCUGAAAAGCCUAAAUUUUA